UUUAUUCUUCUUUGCAGAUUCAGGUAAACCACAAAGAUGGAAUCGAAUCCUAUGUAUUCUUUUGUCUCUGUUAUUGAUAUGGUUCAGUUUUCUGCCCAUCUUUAUUUGAUGAGAAACCCUAAUUCUUCUUCAUCUCCUCUCAACAUACGUCAGGAUUGACAAAUCUUUGUUCAAUUCUCCAUUAUAUUCUUUUAAGAAGCACCAAAAUGGGCAUAAAUUGUGAUAUCCACAACCAUAUGUUAUCCAAUUGAUACAGGUAUGUUGAAACCCUUUGAUCCAUUCCUUUUUCUCCCUCUAAACCUUAUCUGCGCAUACGCAAGCAACAAUGGUGUCUCAAGUUAGCUUUUUUACAAUCGAUUAUGUAGAUUUGAUAUCGCAAUUUCAUCUGAAAGUAAUGUUUUGAACAUUUUCAACUCCUUCUGCUACCAUCUCUAAGGAUCAAAACCCUAUUUUCAACUCCUUGAAUCAAAAAUUUCAAGUAUAAUCAUCAUUUUCUUUCAUUCAUAAUGUUCUGCAAAGGUAAGCAUUAGGUUCGUUUUUUUAUUUCUUGAAUUAGGGCUUCAUUUUCAUAUGAUUAGAUUCUUCUGUUCGUUUAUGUUACAUAUAUAUGUGUCUUAAUUGCCCGGCUACGAGCAAAUGUAAGGGUUUUGAAGAACAUGAAAUUAGGGUUUAGUACUCAUUAGUACCGAUUUGGAUAUGGAGUUAAUUUUGAAGAACAAACCCGUGUAUAUAAAGCAUCUAAAAAACCUAAAUUUCUCUACAUCCACAUUCUUCUCUUUCGCCGCAUCAUACUUGAAACCCUAGAUUCACAUCUUAGCUACGUCUUCCUUUGCCUUGAAGCUUCUACCAUACGCUUUCCUAAAACCCUAAACUAUCAUCUACUUCUUCUUCUUCUACUUGCAUCUCAUUCUCUCUUAAUCACUUAGGCUUGAAUGGCUUAACAAAGGAUUCAAAAAUCAAGCUUAUUCACUUCCAGUUUCAUCGACAAUGAGGAAGAUGGUGAUGGCGGUGGCGGUGGCCUAAAUAGGAACAAUGGCAACGGCAUGGGUUAAUUUAGGGUUUCUCUUCUCUAUCAAUUAUUCCUUUGUAACGUUGGCGGUGGCCUGAAGAGAAAUGAUGUCGGCGACAAUAGUUGACUUAGGGUUUCUUCAGUUCGGGUGAUGUGAUCGUUCAUUUAGGGAUUUGGAAACUAUCAAUCAGGGCUUUUUCGUUCUGUUUACGUUUUCAGUAUCUAGCGAUUGGUGAUGUUGAUUAACUCCGACAGCAAGAAUGAUGCCUGGGUUAUUUGUUUUCGAUGAUGCAAUCAAUUUUGGAUUUAUAAGUUGUUCACACCAUUGCAAGAUAUAUUAUGCCAUUGACUUAGCUAUAGACUGCAAGGAUACUCAACAUGAUCUUUGGAGUAGAAUUAUCAGAGAUGAAUAUAUGGCAUAUGCUGUCCAGGAAUGCUAUUAUAGUAUUGAGAAAAUUCUACUGUCUUUAAUUGACGGUGAAGGAAAACUCUGGGUUGAGAGGAUUUUUCGUGAGAUCAACAAUAGUAUAGAGGAGAAUUCACUUGUCAUGACUUUAAAUCUUAAGAAGCUUCAUUUUGGUGCUGUCAAGAUUUACUGCAUUGACUGGUCUUCUGAUCAUGGAUGAAACUCCUCAGCUUGCAAAAGGAGCUGCGAAAGCUGUGUAUGAGUUAUAUGAUGUAGUAACUCACAAUCUCCUGACAUCUGAGCUAGGAGUGCGAAUGCAUUAUGGACAUCCUCAUGUCUUUGACUGAAUAUUUCAUAUUUCUCGAGGUGGAAUAAAUUAAAGGGAAAAUGAGAGUGCUUCAUGAUGUAGAGAGAGACGAGAAACAGAAGCCAGGAACGUCGACUCUUGGAAUCAUGUUUUGGUGCUUCAGAUCCUACAAAAAAAUGUUCAAAUAAUCGCAGGUUUUGAUUCAGAAUUCAGAAACAUGGUUUUGGCCAGGCUGUAGGCAAUAUCCUCUUCCCUUCGCAAAACCCUAAAUUGCCCUUUUCUAGAAUCCAGGUUCAUUCUAAACAUUGUCUUACUGAUUCUCUAUUGUAACCUUUAAUUUUAUUGUUUUGUGUCUAAUUUAUAUGUUAAUAAUUUCAAUCGCUCAAAUGAUGAUGAGCUCUGCCGCGGGAGUCGGUGCUGAAGGCCUGGUUGAUGAAAUAGGCCGAUAUCGGAACUGUGAUCAGGCUGCGGUUUCGAGUUAUUGGGGAGAUCUAACCGAGUGGACAUGGAACUGUUGUAUGGUGAAGCGGUUGACGGAUGUUCGAAGGACGAAAUCUGAGGUUUACGAAGGAUUU